rnacentral:tRNA from 1 species
GCCUCGGUGGCUCCGAGGCGAGAGCGCCGGCCUCCGGAUGUGGCGGGUUCGAAUCCCGGCCGAGGUG